rnacentral:misc_RNA from 1 species
GAUGAAGAACGUAGCGAAAUGCGAUAAGUAGUGUGAAUUGCAGAAUUCAGUGAAUCAUCGAAUCUUUGAACGCACAUUGCGCCUCCUGGUAUUCCGGGAGGCAUGCCUGUUCGAGCGUCAUUAAAAUCACUCAAGCUUAGGUUUACCUAUUGCUUGGUCUUGGAGAUGGAAGCCAAUUCAUUGGAAUCCUCUUCGAAAUCCAAUGGCGAAGACCCUUGCUCUCCCAAGUGUAGUAAUAACUUAUGUCACUGAAGGAAGCGGGAAAUCUUCCGCCGUAACCCCCAUAUUUUCUAUGAUUGACCUCGGAUCAGGUAGGGAUACCCGCUGAACUUAAGCAUAUCAAUAAGCGGAGGA